rnacentral:tRNA from 1 species
GGGGUUGUGGCUCAGCGGUAGAAUGCUCACCUAGCAUGUGGGAAGCCCAGGGUUCCAUCCUCAGCACCUCA